rnacentral:rRNA from 1 species
AUGAGGUGUUCCUCGUCCUGGACGUCGGCAUCGACUUCCUCCUGCAGCAGCGCCGCAAGCGCCUCCUCGUCAUCCGAGUCCAUCGCCGAGCAAACAAACCGCCGAACACCUGGCGGGCGUGGUGGGCACACCCACCGGUAUACCGCCCUGCGCGGCCGGAGCGCCGGAAAACUCGCCCGGACGAUGGUGGAGAGGCUGCCGCGACGAAACCUUCUCUCUUUUCCGGCAGGGAAUGGCCUAUCUAGCGGUGCGAGGCGGUGGGCGACGCCGGGAUCAGCAGGGUGGUGGCCGAGCGCGCGGGGGUGGGAGGCGAACCUGGACGAUUGGCUUGACUUUUCGCAUGACAGUGUGGCCUAG